rnacentral:rRNA from 1 species
AUUGAACGCUGGCGGAAUGCUUUACACAUGCAAGUCGAACGGCAGCACGGACUUCGGUCUGGUGGCGAGUGGCGAACGGGUGAGUAAUGUAUCGGAACGUGCCCAGUCGUGGGGGAUAACGUAGUGAAAAUUACGCUAAUACCGCAUACGAUCUAUGGAUGAAAGCGGGGGAUCGCAAGACCUCGCGCGAUUGGAGCGGCCGAUAUCGGAUUAGGUAGUUGGUGGGGUAAAGGCCCACCAAGCCAACGAUCUGUAGCUGGUCUGAGAGGACGACCAGCCACACUGGAACUGAGACACGGUCCAGACUCCUACGGGGGGCAGCAGUGGGGAAUUUUGGACAAUGGGCGAAAGCCUGAUCCAGCCAUUCCGCGUGCAGGAUGAAGGCCCUCGGGUUGUAAACUGCUUUUGUACAGAACGAAAAGGUUUCUACUAAUACUAGGAGCUCAUGACGGUACUGUAAGAAUAAGCACCGGCUAACUACGUGCCAGCAGCCGCCGUAA